AUACGGAGGAUCCGAGCGUUAUCCGGAUUUAUUGGGUUUAAAGGGUGCGCAGGCGGGAGAUUAAGUCGGCGGUGAAAUUUUGCAGCUCAACUGUAAAAGUGCCUUCGAAACUGGUUUCCUUGAGUGUAGAUGGAGUAGGCGGAAUUUGUGGUGUAGCGGUGAAAUGCAUAGAUAUCACGAGGAACUCCGAUUGCGCAGGCAGCUUACUAAACUACUACUGACGCUCAGGCACGAAGGCGUGGGGAUGAAACAGGAUUAGAUACCCUGGUAGUCCACGCAGUAAACGAUGAUUACUAGCUGUUUGCGAUACAAUGUAAGCGGCUGAGCGAAAGCGUUAAGUAAUCCACCUGGGGAGUACGUUCGCAAGAAUGAAACUCAAAUGAAUUGACGGGG
rnacentral:rRNA from 1 species